rfam:Thaumarchaeota archaeon N4, WGS project CBTY01000000 data, contig: APF_1883_Contig_3
GCGAGCUGGCGGAUGAGCGCUGCGAAAGCAGAGGAAACUCCUCCCUCAAUGCAGGAGCACGUUGUGGAGACACAAACUCAGAGAUGAUUGGCAACAGAACAGAAAAAAUCCGAACUGGAGUACGAUGAUGGAACACCUGAGGUUUCCGGCAGGACGGAAUGCAAUGUCUGACCCGUGCAGAGCAAAGCCAAACAGAACGUAUGACCUGCACAAAGUUCAGGUAGGCUGCAAAGCGAAAUGCUCAUCUAAAACAGAAGGAGGGUUACGGCCAGCACGC